GAUGAACGCUGGCGGCGUGCUUAACACAUGCAAGUCGAACGGGAUCCAUCAGGCUUUGCUUGGUGGUGAGAGUGGCGAACGGGUGAGUAAUGCGUUACCGACCUGCCCCAUACACCGGAAUAGCUCCUGGAAACGGGUGGUAAUGCCGGAUGCUCCGACUCCUCGCAUGGUGUGUCGGGAAAGAUUUCAGAGGUAGGGGAUGGGGUCGCGUCCUAUCAGGUAGUCGGCGGGGUAACGGCCCAUCGAGCCUACGACGGGUAGCCGGCCUGAGAGGGCGACCGGCCACAUUGGGACUGAGAUACGGCCCAGACUCCUACGGGAGGCAGCAGGGGGGAAUAUUGCAGAAUGGGCGCAAGCCUGAUGCAGCGACGCCGCGUGCGGGAUGACGGCCUUCGGGUUGUAAACCGCUUUUGAUCGGGAGCAAGCCUUCGGGUGAGUGUACCUUUCGAAUAAGCACCGGCUAACUUCGUGCCAGCCGCCGCCGUAA
rnacentral:rRNA from 1 species